UUUCUCCUACGGGGGGCAGCAGUGGGGAAUAUUGCACAAUGGGGGAAACCCUGAUGCAGCGACGCCGCGUGGAGGAUGAAGGUUUUAGGAUUGUAAACUCCUUUUGUUAGAGAAGAUUAUGACGGUAUCUAACGAAUAAGCACCUGCUAACUCCGUGCCAGCAGCCGCGGUAAUACGGAGGGUGCAAGCGUUACUCGGAAUCACUGGGCGUAAAGAGUGCGUAGGCGGGGUAAUAAGUCAGAUGUGAAAUCCUGUAGCUUAACUACAGAACUGCAUUUGAAACUGUUAUUCUAGAGUAUGGGAGG
rnacentral:rRNA from 1 species